UUUCAUCAAGAACUAAAACCCUUUAUUAUAACAAAAUGAUUUGAAUAUACAUUUUUCAUUGUUUGAAAAUAAUGAAAUAUAGCUUCGUAUGUUCAAAAUCAUACAUGGUUUUGAUAACAAGCUAUAAACAUAUCUGAAUUGAUAAAUGAGCCAUUGAUUGGGAAAAAGAAGGUGAUCCAAAAUAUUCUCUCGCUAAAAUAAUUUGAAUAAUGCAAAAGCAAGAAGCCGGAAGAAUAAAUAUAAACUAUUUUAGAUCCUCGAAGUAUCAACAGCACUACAUUCAUGGUUUUAACAUAAUCUAAGUACAGGUUCCUCUAAUUCCACAAAGCAUGUUAAUUCUUUACUUUUUCUAUUUUUUCCUUCAAUUCUUUUAUCCUUAAAAAGUUCGUUCUCGAGUUGAGAAAUGCAAGGUCCGAUCUCUGGUGUGACCAUUUAUUAAGUUGUAUACUACGCAAAGGAGAAGCAAUUAUAACGGUAGUA